GCGGCGUGCUUACACAUGCAAGUCGAACGCUGAAGCUCCCAGCUUGCUGGGGGUGGAUGAGUGGCGAACGGGUGAGUAACACGUGAGUAACCUGCCCCGAACUCUGGGAUAAGCGCUGGAAACGGCGUCUAAUACUGGAUAUGUCCUAUCACCGCAUGGUGUGUAGGUGGAAAGAAUUUCGGUUCGGGAUGGACUCGCGGCCUAUCAGCUAGAUGGUGAGGUAAUGGCUCACCAUGGCGACGACGGGUAGCCGGCCUGAGAGGGUGACCGGCCACACUGGGACUGAGACACGGCCCAGACUCCUACGGGAGGCAGCAGUGGGGAAUAUUGCACAAUGGGCGCAAGCCUGAUGCAGCAACGCCGCGUGAGGGAUGACGGCCUUCGGGUUGUAAACCUCUUUUAGUAGGGAAGAAGCGCAAGUGACGGUACCUGCAGAAAAAGCACCGGCUAACUACGUGCCAGCAGCCGCGGUAAUACGUAGGGUGCAAGCGUUGUCCGGAAUUAUUGGGCGUAAAGAGCUCGUAGGCGGCUUGUCGCGUCUGCUGUGAAAACCAGAGGCUCAACCUCUGGCCUGCAGUGGGUACGGGCAAGCUAGAGUGCGGUAGGGGAGAUUGGAAUUCCUGGUGUAGCGGUGGAAUGCGCAGAUAUCAGGAGGAACACCGAUGGCGAAGGCAGAUCUCUGGGCCGUAACUGACGCUGAGGAGCGAAAGCAUGGGGAGCGAACAGGAUUAGAUACCCUGGUAGUCCAUGCCGUAAACGUUGGGAACUAGAUGUAGGGCCUGUUCCACGGGUUCUGUGUCGUAGCUAACGCAUUAAGUUCCCCGCCUGGGGAGUACGGCCGCAAGGCUAAAACUCAAAGGAAUUGACGGGGGCCCGCACAAGCGGCGGAGCAUGCGGAUUAAUUCGAUGCAACGCGAAGAACCUUACCAAGGCUUGACAUAUACGAGAACACUGUAGAGAUACAGGACUCUUUGGAACACUCGUAAACAGUG
rnacentral:rRNA from 1 species